GAUGAACGCUGGCGGCGUGCCUAAUACAUGCAAGUCGAGCGAACGGACGAGAAGCUUGCUUUUCUGAUGUUAGCGGCGGACGGGUGAGUAACACGUGGAUAACCUACCUAUAAGACUGGGAUAACUUCGGGAAACCGGAGCUAAUACCGGAUAAUAUUUUGAACCGCAUGGUUCAAAAGUGAAAGACGGUCUUGCUGUCACUUAUAGAUGGAUCCGCGCUGCAUUAGCUAGUUGGUAAGGUAACGGCUUACCAAGGCAACGAUGCAUAGCCGACCUGAGAGGGUGAUCGGCCACACUGGAACUGAGACACGGUCCAGACUCCUACGGGAGGCAGCAGUAGGGAAUCUUCCGCAAUGGGCGAAAGCCUGACGGAGCAACGCCGCGUGAGUGAUGAAGGUCUUCGGAUCGUAAAACUCUGUUAUUAGGGAAGAACAUAUGUGUAAGUAACUGUGCACAUCUUGACGGUACCUAAUCAGAAGCCACGGCUAACUACGUG
rnacentral:rRNA from 1 species